rnacentral:rRNA from 1 species
AGAGAGAGACAUGCGCGCAUAUCAAUAAGCGGAGGAAAAGAAACUAACAAGGAUUCCCUUAGUAACGGCGAGUGAAGCGGGAAGAGCUCAAAUUUGAAAUCUUCAAGGUUUUACCUUGACGAAUUGUAGUUUAAAGAAGUGUUUUCUGCUGAAGUUUUGGUAAAAGUUCUUUGGAAUAGGACAUCAUAGAGGGUGAGAAUCCCGUAUUUGACCAUUAUUUUCAGCUUUGUGAUACACUUUCAAAGAGUCGGAUUGUUUGGGAAUGCAGUCCAAAAUGGGUGGUAAAUUUCAUCUAAAGCUAAAUAUUGGCGAGAGACCGAUAGCGAACAAGUACCGUGAGGGAAAGAUGAAAAGAACUUUGAAAAGAGAGUUAAACAGUACGUGAAAUUGUCAAAAGGGAAGCGUUUGACACCAGUGUUGUUUUCUCGAAAAUCAAUUAAAAAUGGCUCGAUUUUGUAUUGCUGAGACCUUAAAAGCUCACUGUACAUUUUUCGUGUCUUUUUUAAUGCACUUUUCGUUUAACAAGUCAACAUCAGUUUCUUUUGUUGUAAAAGGGUCAUUGGAAGGUGGCUUUCUUUUCGGAGAAGGUGUUUAUAGCCUUUGGCCUCUGCAAUCGGAGAGACUGAGGUCUGCAGCGUAGACUCUUCGGGGUCAGAUAGCAUUUGUGCUAAGUUAUAGCUUUUUAUAGACAACUUGUUGACUAUAAUUAGUCUUGUAGCUUACUCGCUUAUGCUAUUUUACCUACGCUUAGGAUGUUGAAGAUGUAGCACAUCAU